GACGAACGCUGGCGGCGUGCUUAACACAUGCAAGUCGAACGGAAAGGCCCUGCUUUUGUGGGGUGCUCGAGUGGCGAACGGGUGAGUAACACGUGAGUAACCUGCCCUUGACUUUGGGAUAACUUCAGGAAACUGGGGCUAAUACCGGAUAGGAGCUCCUGCUGCAUGGUGGGGGUUGGAAAGUUUCGGCGGUUGGGGAUGGACUCGCGGCUUAUCAGCUUGUUGGUUGGGUAGUGGCUUACCAAGGCUUUGACGGGUAGCCGGCCUGAGUGGGUGACCGGCCACAUUGGGACUGAGAUACGGCCCAGACUCCUACGGGAGGCAGCAGUGGGGAAUAUUGCACAAUGGGCGGAAGCCUGAUGCAGCAACGCCGCGUGCGGGAUGACGGCCUUCGGGUUGUAAACCGCUUUCGCCUGUGACGAAGCGUGAGUGACGGUAAUGGGUAAAGAAGCACCGGCUAACUACGUG
rnacentral:rRNA from 1 species